rnacentral:rRNA from 1 species
GAUGAACGCUAGCUACAGGCUUAACACAUGCAAGUCGCGGGGCAGCAUGGGGGUUGCUUGCAAUCCCCGAUGGCGACCGGCGCACGGGUGAGUAACGCGUAUCCAACCUGCCCUUCACCACGGGAUAACCCGGCGAAAGUCGGACUAAUACCGUAUGUUGUCCAUUGACGGCAUCCGAUUUGGACGAAAGGUUUGGCGGUGAAGGAUGGGGAUGCGUCCGAUUAGCUGGACGGCGGGGUGACGGCCCACCGUGGCGACGAUCGGUAGGGGUUCUGAGAGGAAGGUCCCCCACACUGGAACUGAGACACGGUCCAGACUCCUACGGGAGGCAGCAGUGAGGAAUAGUGGUCAAGGGGCGUAAGCCUGAACCAGCCAAGUAGCGUGCAGGAUGACGGCCCUAUGGGUUGUAAACUGCUUUUAUGCGGGGAUAAAGUGGCCCACGUGUGGGUUUUUGCAGGUACCGCAUGAAUAAGGACCGGCUAAUUCCGUG